GCGAAUGGCUCAUUAAAUCAGUUAUCGUUUAUUUGAUAGUACCUUACUACUUGGAUAACCGUGGUAAUUCUAGAGCUAAUACAUGCUAAAAACCCCAACUUCGGGAGGGGUGUAUUUAUUAGAUAAAAAACCAACGCCCUUCGGGGCUUCUUGGUGAUUCAUGAUAACUUUACGGAUCGCAUGGCCUUGCGCCGGCGACGGUUCAUUCAAAUUUCUGCCCUAUCAACUUUCGAUGGUAAGGUAUUGGCUUACCAUGGUUUCAACGGGUAACGGGGAAUUAGGGUUCGAUUCCGGAGAGGGAGCCUGAGAAACGGCUACCACAUCCAAGGAAGGCAGCAGGCGCGCAAAUUACCCAAUCCCGACACGGGGAGGUAGUGACAAUAAAUACUGAUACAGGGCUCUUUUGGGUCUUGUAAUUGGAAUGAGUACAAUUUAAACCUCUUAACGAGGAACAAUUGGAGGGCAAGUCUGGUGCCAGCAGCCGCGGUAAUUCCAGCUCCAAUAGCGUAUAUUAAAGUUGUUGCAGUUAAAAAGCUCGUAGUUGAAACUUGGGUCUGGCUGGUAGGUCCGCCUCACCGCGUGUACUUGUCCGGCCGGGCCUUCCUUCUGGAGAACCUCAUGCCCUUCACUGGGCGUGUUGGGGACCAGGACUUUUACUUUGAAAAAAUUAGAGUGUUCAAAGCAGGCCUUUGCUCGAAUACGUUAGCAUGGAAUAAUAGAAUAGGACGUGCGGUCCUAUUUUGUUGGUUUCUAGGACCGCCGUAAUGAUUAAUAGGGACAGUCGGGGGCAUCAGUAUUCAAUUGUCAGAGGUGAAAUUCUUGGAUUUAUUGAAGACUAACUACUGCGAAAGCAUUUGCCAAGGAUGUUUUCAUUAAUCAGUGAACGAAAGUUAGGGGAUCGAAGACGAUCAGAUACCGUCGUAGUCUUAACCGUAAACUAUGCCGACUAG
rnacentral:rRNA from 1 species